rnacentral:rRNA from 1 species
GAUGAACGCUGGCGGCGUGCCUAAUACAUGCAAGUCGAGCGAACAGACGAGGAGCUUGCUCCUCUGACGUUAGCGGCGGACGGGUGAGUAACACGUGGAUAACCGACCUAUAAGACUGGGAUAACUUCGGGAAACCGGAUCUAAUACCGGAUAACAUGUUGAACCGCAUGGUUUAACAGUGAAAGACGGUCUUGCUGUCACUUAUAGAUGGUUCCGCGCCGCAUUAGCUAGUUGGUAAGGUAACGGCUUACCAAGGCAACGAUGCGUAGCCGACCUGAGAGGGUGAUCGGCCACACUGGAACUGAGACACGGUCCAGACUCCUACGGGAGGCAGCAGUAGGGAAUCUUCCGCAAUGGGCGAAAGCCUGACGGAGCAACGCCGCGUGAGUGAAGAAGGUCUUCGGAUCGUAAAACUCUGUUAUUAGGGAAGAACAAAUGUGUAAGUAACUAUGCACGUCUUGACGGUACCUAAUCAGAAAGCCACGGCUAACUACGUG